UGAUAGGUGUGGGUUCUUAAAAGCAAGGAUCUCUAUUAAACUUGUGGAAAUGUUGUCCUCCUUUCGCCCAUCAGCCGAGGUGUGUGAAGGAUUGUGUGUGUGAGAAGAGGGUGGAAGAACGCCCUGAAACUCUCAUUUUCCUUACGGCCUCACAUGUUGCUUACAGAGUAUCCAUGAUUAAAAUAAUCUGCAUGUAAUACAGGGAACUCUUGAAGCUACCCCAAAUUAGCCUGCAAUGACAAGUUUGAAUAUUGCCAAUCCACAGUGGACAAUACGACAUUAAUGCUUCAGCAAGAAUUUGUUUAGACUGGAAAACAUUUUCAUCUACUAAACUUCCUUCUUAUGUUCCUUGUAUGAUGGAGAACAAAGAUCAAUAAAUAAGCAGUUAAGAGUCUGUGUGGGUUUGGCUAGAGUACUGCCACCAAAGACUCAUGAGACCAUGAACAAAGUAAGCUGGACCAAUACCACAAGGGUAAAGUGAGAAAGUUCCUUGGAUCAGUUCACUCUUUUUACAGUAUGGAUAAAUUGAUAACAGCCAACCAGUGGAAGGGCCAUGAGCUGUGUGCUUAUGUUACUAGCUUUGAAGAAGCUCUACUUCUCCUUUGUAAAGAUGAGGAAACUGUGACUUACAGAAGAGAGACAGGAAAGUCUUCAGAUGAACAGAAGAAGAAAUGAGAGUAUACUGGAAUUUUUGUUUAUUUUGAAAGGAAUCUAUUAGCCAGAAAGGAAGAGUAAAUUCAUUUUGCCUGGCUGGGCAGGGGGCAGCUGAAUCACAAGGAUCAAAUGUAGCACAAAAGAACAAGAGUAACUGGCUUACUCUAACAUGAAACCAUUCUGAGUAAAGUGUAAAGAAGAAGAAUUAAAGCUGAAAUGGUAUUUAUAAAAGAGAAAAGCCACCAUUCUGUAUUAAAAAUUUUAUAUUAUGGACUUCCAGAGAUGGGCUACUUAUGAUUGCUGUGGUCCUAGCUGUAAAGUUCUUAUUUAUGAGCAUCAUUUACGAAGUCUUCGUGAUAAUGGUUUUCUCUAGCUUUCAUAAGAUUGUUGGUGCAAUACAUUCAAAUCAGAGUAUGUGAGAGCGGUUAG
ensembl:lncRNA